rnacentral:rRNA from 1 species
UGACGUAGACGCUAUACUCUAAGAUUAACCCAUGCAUGUUUAUUGAAUAUAAAGAAAAGACGAACAGCUCAGUAACUCUUAUUUGAUUUGAUGUAUUAGGAUUCUAACUAUGUUAAAUUAUAGGUAACAAUAAUACAAUAAGAAUAAGAUCUAUCAGUUAGUUGUUAAGGUAAUGGCUUAACAAGACUAUGACGGAUAACGGUAUUACUUUGUAAUAUUCCGGAGAAGGAGCCUGAGAGAUUGCUACUAAGUCUAAGGAUUGCAGCAGGGGCGAAACUUGACCUAUGAUAUUAUAUUGAGGCAGUUAUGAGUAGUAUUUUAUAAUUAUUGUAGUAUUGUAAGUACAUAUUACAAGAUAAAUCGGAGGGCAAAUCGAGUGCCAGCAGCCGCGGUAAUACUUGUUCCGAUAGUGUGUAUGAUGAUUGAUGCAGUUAAAAAGUCUGUAGUUUAUUUAUAAUAAGCAUUGUAAGGUAUACUGUAUGGUUAGGAGAGAGAUGAAAUGUGAUAACCCUAACUGGAUGAACAGAAGCGAAAGCUGUAUACUUAAAUGUAUUAUUAGAACAAGGACGUAAGCUAGAGGAUCGAAGAUGAUUAGAUACCAUUGUAGUUCUAGCAGUAAACUAUGUUGAAUCAUAGAUAUAUUUUGAUAUAUAUUUAUGUAGAGAAAUUAAGAUUAUAUUGACUCUGGGGAUAGUAUGAUCGCAAGAUUGAAAAUUAAAGAAAUUGACGGAAGAAUACCACAAGGAGUGGAUUGUGCGGCUUAAUUUGACUCAACGCGGGGUAAUUUACCAGGUAUAACAUGRUAUAAUAUUUUAUCAUGAUAGUGGUGCAUGGCCGUUUCCAAUGGAUGCUGUGAAGUAAUGAUUAAUUUCAACAAGAUGUGAGACCCUCAUUUAGACAGAUGUAGUGAUACAUAUGAAGGAGAGGAUUAAAACAGGUCCGUUAUGCCCUAAGAUAAUCUGGGUUGCACGCGCAAUACAAUAAUAUUUGAUAUUAUAAGGGAUAAUAUAAUGUAAGAUAUAUUUGAACAUGGAAUUGCUAGUAAAUUUUAUUUAAUAAGUAGAAUUGAAUGAGUCCCUGUUCUUUGUACACACCGCCCGUCGCUAUCUAAGAUGGUAUUAUCUAUGAACAAAUUUAUAAAGUGAAUAGAUAGUACUAGAUCUGAUAU